UUCUAUAGCCACACCACCUGAAUGCACCUGGUCUCGGAGGAUAACCAGGAUUGUGCCUGGUUAGUAUUUGGGUGGGGAAAAAUUAAUAGUUAUAAUCA
ensembl:rRNA 5S_rRNA 5S ribosomal RNA